UUGCUGACCAGUCAUUCUGCGGUCUGCCGCCAUGCUCCGUUACCACAGCUGUAGGUAACUUGUCUGAAGGCCAGUUGGUUAUUCCCAGGCUUCUGGCGUGGGUUCUGAUUUUCCGAUUGCGAGCCGUUGGGAUGGGGAACAACGCGUUCUGGCCUGGGAGCGAUCUCAGUAGACCUGUGACAGCGCCAAGCUGCGAGGUGUGGGGUGCCUUCAGCAGCCUCUGUUGACCGGUCUCCUUGGCCAACUCUUCGCUUCGCUGCAGCCCCUGGCCUGGUGGGCUUCCAGCUGCACGUUUAAAAGCAAAACCGGUCCACGUGGGAAUUCAAGGAAUCGAGUACAAGCUUUUACAUGAAUACUUACUUUAUUAGUUUCUCUUAGAAUGCUGUACAAAGGAGUAAUAAAAAUAUUCACACUUUUAUUUUAGAAAGUUCUCUACAUGAGACUUCGGUAUCCACAGCAAAAAGAAGGGCUACUGGGAGAAAAAACAAAACAACCCUAAAACUAUGUACAAUGUCAGAAUGUUCCAUUAAAAAACAAAACUAAUUUAGCUCACUUAAAUUCAUCCAAGGAGGAUACAUAAAUGCAAACUCUUGCAUGCUUAAAAUACGUUAUGCGCGAUGAUAAAGCAAUGUAAGUCACAAUAAGAAAUAUUAAUGCGUUAACAAUGGUAACCCAACUGCUGUCCCCUUUUCAAGGGCCAGUACCAACCUUCUAUUAAAACAAACAAAAAACUAAACAAUGAAUUAAAAAAGAAGUACUCAAGAAUUAAGUAGCCCUAGACCUCAGGCUUUUGUUUUUAUUUUAAAGGCUUUUUUUCCUGCAAAGGGUUGGACUGUGUAACAUCCGUUAGCUCUGUUAAAGGAAUUACAAGACAGGAUUCCCUAAUUCACCAACUGGUAGCACUUGAUUGUUCCCUCGUUUCCCUGGUGCAGCGGCUUCCACAUGGCGUUAAUAGGUGCAUUGUCUUAAUGAUGGCUUAGAGGAGGCCUUGCCCGCAAGAUCAAGGGAUGGCUGCUUGCCAGUGCCUGUGAACUGCUCAAGGGGUGAGUUUCUGAAGCUUUUCUCCUGCAUUCAUCGCAGAACAAAAAAGAAAAGCAUUUUAAGUACCUACUUGCCCAGUCAUUGUUUCUCAGUCACACAAGGAGUCCACCCUAGUUCUCCAGCUGAAGUUUAUCCUAGUUACUAUGUACAGUGUAAGUUCAAGGGGAAAAUCUGUCAAGUGCAAUGUGAUCAAAAUCCUGUUUAAAAUCAAUAAUGCUCAAUUAUCUCCUUCACAGAGGUACUGGAGAAAAUUCCACAGCCUAAAAGAAGGAGUGGACAGUCUUUGGGCUCCCGUUCUGACUCUCAGCACACAAGACAGCACGGGCAGCAGGAGCGCUGACCAGCACAGGACACGAGGCAGCUCAGCUGCCCUGCAGUACUCACAGUACGAUGGGCAUGAUGGUCAGGAACUUGCGGGACGCUGUGAACUGCACGCCGUAGUCCAUCUGCUCCCAGUGCGUGAGCAGCCGAGCCUUCCCCUGAUCUGGCGUCUCAAAAGGGGUUCCUUUCACGG